UUUUCUUUUUUCUUUUUUUUCUUUCUGUCAUCAGUCAGAGAUUCGCGCGUUAACGUGAGUUGUUUGUUUGUUUGUUUUUUUGCUGUAUGUUUGUCCCGUUGUUGUCAACUGACGGACUGACGUUAUAACAGAGACUCAAGUGCUGGGUCGAUCACAGGGACAUAACGUUCUGAUAUGUCAAGUGUGAAGACGCGGUUGCUCAAUAUUGGACAGCACUCGUGGAGAAUUACACGCCUGAGGGUUUACACACUGUUGGAAACGGUCCAUCCUUCAUGUUCGUGUAUUUAUGUGUGUAGUUGUUGUUGAAUGAAUCAGACGAUUAACCGUGUGGGGAAACGAACUUCCCUUUAAGUUUUAAUUUGCAGUUUGUCCUUUUUCAAUUCAGUUGUAGAAGUGAAUUAUCCUCAGUGUAAUGACAAGACAACAUGGUACAGCGGGUUUAUUCAGUGUUAAAUGCCUGUGUUUUGAUUUUCUGUCUCUGUUUUAACACUGAUGACUUUUUCAGAUUCAGACUCUGUCAGUUUUGAACAUUAUCUCUUUUUUUUUCACAUGAAGAUCCAUCACAUUCGGGGCCUUUUGCCCACCUGAGAACCCCUGUCUGACCUUUAUGUAGGAGUCAAACUCUGGGAGACACGUUUCCUUUUUUAUUUUUUGCCCAGCUGGCAUUAGGUACAAGCAGUGGUACCACAGCCCCCCCCCCUUCUCUCCUCCCCCCACUUCAACCCCUCCUCGGUGGUCAAAAGCUGACUUUCCAGAGGGGAUGAGAGACAGACUGAGGUGAUGAAUCUGCAGAAGUGUGGCUCGCCUCUAUGACCCCGCUGCCUGGAAGACUUGGCGUGCUCCAGGGGUAGUCCAGGGCACGGGCAGAAGAGCCCACAAAACUCAGCUGUGUUUGCAUUGGGCUUUUAAACUUAAGGUGGUUUCACUUCUCCUUUUCACUUGGACACACACACUCACACACUCACACACUUGAGGUUCACAAUGGUAGCAUGUUUGGAUGAUUUGCAUUAAGCAGCCGUCUGCUUCAGUUAAUCCCCCUGUGCUUUUGAAGCUCAGGUGGCGCUAAGUCUGUUAGUGAAACACAAACAGUGCUGAUGCAUCAUGGAAAUGUGAUACUAAUUACCAGUGCUCAUCUACAAUAGGGCCUUGAGUCACCACGUUAACCGCCAUCUCCUCGCCGUUUGUACCUGCAGAGCUGAGAUUGUAAUACACACACACACACACACACACACAUCUCACAGACGUACAUAAAAGGUGCUGACUGCGGCAGUUAAGUUGCUAAAGUGCCGCGCUAUCUUGCAAAACCAUUUCGCAAUGCUCGCCCCUGCUCUUGCUUACAUGGGUGCAUUCAGGUCAAGUUCAUGCUCUGAAGAAGCGGUUCACAGCCUCACACACACACAGAGACACACAACCACACACAGACACACACCACUUUCUUUCUCACACAGAAACUUUGCAUAUUUUUUUUUCUUACAACACAUACUGGAAAUAUGUAGCUUCAAUUUCCCUCUUAUUAAUGUUUGAAGCUGCAUUUGUUUUUGUUAACAAACAACUGUUAAGCUGCACCACGUGUAUUCAUGUGGCAGUUAAAGCAGAGCUGCGUUAGAGCUGUCAGAAAACAAGACAACCUUUUUCUAGCUCGAAACACCUGCAACCGCAGCACAUGCAUAUGCACAUGCUCUUUGAACAGGCGGCAGUGGUUCCCAGCCCGCCCCACGGGUUUGUUUGUUUUCCCUAGUGCAACCAAAGAGCAGUCAGUGUCAGCUGUCCAUACGUCCGUCCUCCCGUCCUCCCGUCCUCCCUCUCUUCAUCGGAGGUAAUUCCCUCUAAGGAGCUCACACUCUGCCGGGGUCAGAGUUCCACUCAAACAACACUCCUAAUGUUCCAGCGGGCUUUCAUUCCACUUUUGAAAGUUGUAGCAGUGGAGCCCACCAGGAUCUUGGUAGCAUAUUAUCAUGUCAGUCACGUAGCCGUAACAAAAUGGCGAUACGAUACAAAGACGUGUUUGGGAAGAUAUGAGACAAGGUUAGGUAACUGCAAAAAGGUAUGUUUAUUUUGUGACAUUAGGAGAAUACGUUAGUAAAUAAAUUAGGUAGGAGUGUAGAAGAAAAACACUACGCUAGUAUGACCAAGAUGGCAACGACCUGCCGAAUAAUAUUUAAAUGAGCUGUCAAGCGGUUCUUGUCGGUUUGAGUGUCUCGUCCACUUUCAAUCUGUGUUCCUUAGGUCAGGGUUGAGUGACUGACAAGAAUGUAAGGGAGGCCAUGCCCCGCUGGGUGGCAUGCAUACCGGCAUAGAGUAGGCCUGUGGGGGGGAGUCUGAUGUUUUUUAUCUGAUCAAAAAGCUGCUGUUUGUCAUAAACACCGUGAUUUAUGCCUCUGUCAGGGGCCUUUAUCUGGCAUCUUGUUCCAUCGUAGGUUCUAUGUACGCGGGCUGCGACGUACAAAAGUUCUGUUGAAAGAGUUCCUUCACAGCGUAUUUCCGAGGAGCCUCCUGCGUCGGUGCCGUGUGGGUACAGGGAGUUACAUAAGGCUUUUUCAUGGUUUUUGCAUGGCUUUGUUUGUGUCAGCACACCUUCAGGAGUGCAGGGUAUAUAUGUGUGUGUGUCAGUGUUUGACUGUGCCUGGUUGGCAGCUGUGCAAACACUGUUUGGGUGAUCCAGGCUCCUCCUGAUGUGGCAUGUGCAUGGAUGGUACCAGGCAGAGCAAAACUGGUCAGUGUCAAACUCGUUCACUGAGCCAGGGAAACCAUAUCAGUGUGUGUUUGACCCUGUUCUGUCCAAAAUAGAGCGUCGGCGAAUCGAUCACCUUCUCUUUGUUUCUCUUUCUGCCCAUUCAUGUGUGUUACAACACAUCGGUCGGUCCUUCAGUUCAACCUGUGUGUCAAUAAUUGUUCCUCUCGCUUAUCAGAUUUUGUUGCCCGUAACAACAUCAAAUUAUUACAGUGCGUGGGUCCCACCUUGAUGCCAACCUAACUAACACACGCCUUAAUGGUCCUUUAUGACGCUUAGUCAUACGCUGCAGCGUGUUAGCACUGGAAACAGCGGCGUCCUAAAUCGCAAGCACAUGGUUGAAUGGAGGGGGAGAUGUUUCAAGGUGAAGUUGAAUAUGACGGUAAUAAAUAUCACUAAAUAUGAAUCUGAAUUCAAACCGGAGGUUGUCCCUUUCCAAAUAAUUAUUGCACAAAAGCUUUUGAUUUCACUUGGAGUCCACAUGAAAGCCCCCCACCAAAACAAAGGAAAUAUGUUCUCUGGGCAGGGAUAUAAAGCAUUAACCAGCUUUUUGUAGAGGGGAAAAAGUGUAAUCACUCACUCACUCACACGGUCCCUCCUCUUUCUCUCUUCUGUGUCCACACCUUUCUGCAGGCCGCAUGAGUUUUUUUCUGGACACCUUGAUGUGGUAUUGAGUGAGUUCCUAAGUAGUGCACUUUGUCCCAUCCCCAUUCAUCUCUUCCUAGUAAUCCCUGAGUCAUGGCAUGGAACGCCUGCCUCACCACAUGCCACUACUAGCUGUCCGACUUCACGUCUGCUUCACUCGCUUACUGGUUUUGAGUUCAUGCCUCCUUGCUCACAUUAUCUUUCUUUCUCUUUUUUAGACUGUUAGCUGUAGCGCUACCUACAGUCGAAUGACAACUCUGCCAAUUUCAUAAUCAGUCGUUAAAAAAGGCUGCAUGUUCACCUCAGACGUCCCUCUGUCUACAACACGGCCACGCCACUCGUUUUGUUCGCUUUAUGUUUCUUCCCCUUGUUGUUCUCUUUCUGUGUAUUUGCUGCUCGCCACCUGGUUCUGGGGUCGGUAUUGCGUGCUGCUUUUGUAAUCAGGACAACAAAUGGGACCCAGCUACGGAUUUUAUGUGUAUCAGACCUGCAGGAGCAGCAGCACCAGAGCUGUGCAGAUUGUUUGGCCAACGGAAGAAAAGAAUGAUGUGGGCGGGAGGCUCUGUUGUGUAGGUGUUAUUCUCUGGGACUAAUGAAGAGUUGGGACCUGAUGACUGACUGGGAUGGGAUGUGCGUUGUUUUGUCUUUUGUUUUUUAGCCUGGUUGUCGGUGGAGAUGGUGUUAGAACAACAUCACUAUUGUCUGCUUAAUAAACUCAGGUGGUGAAAUACCGUAGUUUGACCUCCAAAUAUUCUUUAAACGGCAACUGAACCACAGAGUGGAAUUUUUUCACUUGAUGUUAUAUGACCACUGCUCUCACCCUGACCUCUCCUUAGAGCUGAGUUUCGAGCACAUCUUUUGACGUCCAGUCAUUGUUUAAAGAUCUGAGUCAUUCCCUGACUGUACUCAUGUCUGGUCUGUUCCAACAGAAACGUAGAGAGAUGUGAAAAAAAGGCAGGGCAAUUUAUUGACUUUCAUAUUCCUGAAGAUAUUUUCAAUUUUCCUUUUGCGCAGAAUUAAAAGAAAAGAGAGUUUGAUUUUCUUUUUCGGUCUUCUUUCUUCCUUGAGCUUAAAAUAGACUAGUAAUUCAUCCUUCUGAUCUGAGAUAAUUUUUCAGCUUACACCCAAAGUCAUUUUUGGUCACAUUAGAGCAAAACAAGAAAGUCGUGAGAAGCACAUUAGCGAUUGUAAAACAGAGGUGGAAUGCAAGGCACGCAACAUGAAAACACUGUGGUCUUGGGGAGGGGGGGUGUGGGGGUGGGGGGUUAUUUGUUAAGUAUCCAUCUGUCGUCCAUAGCUUGCCUUCAAAACAGUCCUACGUACUGUACAGUAUGUAUGAUGGAUAAUGAGAGCCAGGCAUCACAGGACAAAAGAGAUUCACAUAUUACACAGGACCGUAAAUGUGUGUCUGUGUGUGAAAAAAAAACAGCCCAUGAAUUUACACUUGCAUGAAGAUCCUGGUUGUGGAAUGCAUCCGUUUGGACUAAACGGGGCAGGCACCAUGUUUUCUGGAAAAAAUGCUACAUAGAGAGUAAACUGUUUGUCAGAUAUGUCAUGUGUUUGGUUUAAUGCCUAAACAGUCGCCCCAGAGCAUCUCCUGUCUGUUUACAACAUGGACGCAGCCCAGGAGGGGCAGCUAGCUUUGGUUAUAGCUAGGCUUGGACAUGCACACACACACACACACACACACAUACGGUCGAGUGUGUGAAUGAAAUAGAUGGUAACAAAUAUGUAUACUGUAAAUAUUUGACAUAUCCUCUCCUUACAUUUGUGUGUGAUUUGUCUAAACUUUUCCCCCAAUAAUUAUCUGGCUGACUUUAAAAAAUAAUGGAGAACUUAAAGGUUGUGCAAUUGGUUCUUGUGAAAAGGCAGUGCUGUUUUUUAACAUGUAAUACUUGAGGCACAUCUAAGAUCUAGAUGAUUUCACACUGUUUAGCAUGAGUAAAAGAACAAAUAUUCAGAUAUAAAAAAAAGAUCACACACAUAAAUCCUUGUUUGUUUCUAUUCCACUCAUUUUGCUGUAAAAGAUUAUAAACACUGAUUUUUAUUUUUUAAUUUUUGCAAAAUGUGUUUAUUCUCUGUCUGGGAUGACAUAAAAUAUCAUUUCUAAAUCCAAACUAAUGUCAUAUCCAGCUCUUAGACCUUGGCAUAAACAGCACAGUUAAUGCACUUUAGCGUCAUAAGCUAAUAUGAUUUCAGAGAUGGAGGAAGGGAAAGAAAAAAGACAGCAGUGGGGUAUCAGUCUCACUCAUUGUCUGCUGCUGUAGCCAGUGUGUCUGAGGCGGCGAUCGUCCUGGACACAGACCAUGUCAGUGGUGGUACAGCUGCUCUGGUCCACUGUGGUGCUCACGGAUGGCCUGAAGGCAGUGGUGAGAAUUAAACCAGUGUUUCUGAACUGUUUUCAGUCUUCACUGGAUCUUCCUGGUUUAUGCAUGGAAUCUCGUCCCUUUAACACUGUCCUGAUUGAAGCGGGCUCGGGUCAAAGUUUGGUCGGGUUUUUUUUUUUUUUUUUUUUACACUUUCUCGCCCCAUGCCUUACACAUCUAUUCCUGGCUCACUGGCAUUGAGAUGGAAAUCUAAACAGCGGAGCAGCUGGAUGAACAAGCGGCCCUCUCAAAAACCAGACUGCCACCCUGGUCCUUCUCCUGCUCUGCAGCAACCCUCCGCAACCACUUUAUCACCCACUGGUGUUGAAUAGGCCCCCUUCAUGUUGGUGGAGUUUAUGACCCUGCAUUCUCAGACCUAGCGUUCAGAUAAAAAUCUCCUUCAAAUGCAUUCUCAGAAACCACUGACACCUCUGACCUGAUGUAUGUCGGCGGUUCAGGAUUAAAGAGAUGAUUAGAACGGCCCUGGCAAGAAGCCAAGACCAUUUUGUUUUUGUUUCUUUCCUUUUCUACGCCUUGCUUUGAUGCUACAGAUCUGUUUGCUCUGAACAUAUAGAAAAAUACUGCAGAGUCAGUGGUGUAACUUUAAUGACCUCACCUUUCAUAGGAAGUGACUGCAGGAGAUUGACUUACAAAAAGGAAACAUGUAAAACUGUUAGCUUUCAACACCAUACCAUUCGACCUGUCAGUUGAACUUCUUAGUAGUAUUUAUAGAUUUGUUGUGUAAUAGGUACAACGUUGUCCCUUAGUCUUAGGGCCCGCUUGCUUGUUGUGCUUGUCUUGUUGCAUCACUCUGUGUGGAGGCAGCAGUCUAGGCUUUAUGAAUGAACGAGUCUCCGCCAAAGGCUGGGAGAUGGCACGGAUCCCACUGUGAUGUCACUCCAGAGACCAGGAGAAGAGAGGCAGCUUCAUAAGACCUCCCCUUCAUUCAUCUCUCUCCACUCUCCGUGCGGAUCUUUUUCUCUUUUGCUCUCCCUCGGUGCCCACCCCCAGUUCUCUGUCCCGUGAUGGGUUCGUAUUACAGAUCGGUGACUCACUUACCCGCUCACCCCUCCCUUUUGCCUCUUAAUGUACAUUAUCACCCCUCACCCACCAUGAUGCUCCCAUGCUGUCCUCCCCUCUGGCCCUGCCCUGCCCAUCCCUGUUUGUUUCAUCUCCGUAGACUUUGCACCCGGCCACAAAAAUCCCAUUAUCACACCCACGCGCUGACGUGCAGGCAGAGAUGAUUACUACUUUGGUACAUGUUUGUGAAUGUGUGGGUCAGUUGUGUAGCCAAAGGUGCCAAAAAAAAAAAAAAA